UACGUAGGUGGCAAGCGUUGUCCGGAUUUACUGGGUGUAAAGGGCGUGUAGCCGGGUUGACAAGUCAGAUGUGAAAUCCUGCGGCUUAACCGCAGAACUGCAUUUGAAACUGUUGAUCUUGAGUACUGGAGAGGCAGACGGAAUUCCUAGUGUAGCGGUGAAAUGCGUAGAUAUUAGGAGGAACACCGGUGGCGAAGGCGGCUUACUGGACAGAAACUGACACUGAGGCUCGAAAGCGUGGGGAGCAAACAGG
rnacentral:rRNA from 1 species